GGGGCUGAUUGUGUUGCUGGUGCAUGCCGAGGUCUUCAAAACCUUUUGGGAGGCGCGUGCCGUCUUUGCUGGGUUCGAUUCCCAGGCAGUCCCGCCA
rnacentral:tRNA from 1 species